CCUGAAUCUGCUGUGAAUCUGAGGACUGCCCAAUCUGAAGGACAUUUGGGCUAAAGGAUCUCUUUCAAAUCUCCCAGAAGCAUGGUCUCUGCUUCCAUUAAAAUGUAAACAUCGCCGGGCGCGGUGACUCAUGCCUGUAAUCCCAGCAAUUUGGGAGUCUGAGACAGGUGGAUCACUUGAGGUCAGGAGUUCGAGACCAACCUGGCCAACAUGGUGAAACCCCACCUCUACUAAAAAUACAAAAAUUAGCCAGGUGUGGUGGUACACACCUGUAAUCCCAGCUACUCAGGAGGCUGAGGCAUGAGAAUCACUUCAACCUUGGAGGCGAAGCUUGCAGUGAGCCAAGAACACAUCUCUGCACUCCAGCCUGGGCUACAGAGUGAGACCCCAUUUCAAAAAAAAGUAAACAUGAAUUCAUUCAUCUAGAGAUCUCCAAAAUCCCUCAGAUGAUUCCACCCAGAAUUUUCUUGGAUUUAUUCUAAACCCUCCCAGGAAGAACUUCAAUCAGAAAUCGCAAAUGGUGUGCCUGUGCCAUGUCCCAAGUGUCUGUGAUCCAAAACCUCCUCCAGGUUCUGCUGUCCUUGGGGAGUUUCCCCUUGGCAACUCCCAAGCAGGAGUUGCCUGAUGGACCAGAGGAGAAGAGGACCCAUCAACCCAAAGCCUUUAUCUCUUUCUUCUAACAUCUCUUUCUGUUUUCCGCCUUUCCCUUUAGAUUUCAAAGGCCACGGUUGGUCUUUGAGGUUCAAAACCAAGCUAUAUUUACAGUAUUUACAAGCAAUGCAUCCAACAGACUACCUCGAGGCUAUGACUCAUAAGACAAGGCUUCCUCUCUAUAGGAAGCCACUAUCCCAGAUGCCAAAGAAGCUUGGCUGACACCGUUUCCCAAGGGAACACCUGCUCUCUAUCCAAGCCCCACUGCUUUUUGUCCUGGGCCUCGGGCUCUGCCUCCGCCUCUGCCUGGUUAAGCUCGUUCAGGUACAGAAAGACCUGCUUGUUAGGGGCCAGCCGGUUCCUCUUGGUGUUGACCAUUUGGCUGCGGAGCCAAAGAGAUGCUCCAGCACAACGCAGGUGGCCAAGCACCUUCUAAAACUUGAAGUCCCUCAUCUCCUCCAC
rnacentral:lncRNA from 10 species